rnacentral:tRNA from 1 species
GGCAUAGUGGCUCAAGCAUUGGACUACAACUUCAUGGACCAGUGUUCGAAUCCCUGCUUUGCCA